GAUGAACGCUGGCGGCGUGCCUAAUACAUGCAAGUCGAGCGAACAGAUGAGGAGCUUGCUCCUCUGACGUUAGCGGCGGACGGGUGAGUAACACGUGGAUAACCUACCUAUAAGACUGGGAUAACUUCGGGAAACCGGAGCUAAUACCGGAUAAUAUAUUGAACCGCAUGGUUCAAUAGUGAAAGACGGUUUUGCUGUCACUUAUAGAUGGAUCCGCGCCGCAUUAGCUAGUUGGUAAGGUAACGGCUUACCAAGGCAACGAUGCGUAGCCGACCUGAGAGGGUGAUCAGCCACACUGGAACUGAGACACGGUCCAGACUCCUACGGGAGGCAGCAGUAGGGAAUCUUCCGCAAUGGGCGAAAGCCUGACGGAGCAACGCCGCGUGAGUGAUGAAGGUCUUCGGAUCGUAAAACUCUGUUAUUGGGGAAGAACAAAUGUGUAAGUAACUAUGCACGUCUUGACGGUACCUAAUCAGAAAGCCACGGCUAACUACGUG
rnacentral:rRNA from 1 species